CUUUUGUAAAAAAAGUGUCUGUUUUGCUGCUAUUCCCUUUCUCUGGGUUGUUUUAAUUAAUAUAGAAUACGCUAUCGUAUACACAGGUACAAAUACACAAGCUGUCUAACUAUUUCUCCAUCGCUAUCAAACACUAUACUUUAGCUCUAGCACCUAUAUAUAUCACUGAAGCGUAUCUGGUCUGCUAUGUGUAUUUAAUUUAUAAAGAGUAUUUGCUACUUGAGAUAUUCAAACGUUCUUUCGAUUAAGUAAUCGAUUAAGUAAACUAUAAAAGCACAAUAUUGCUUAAAUUGAAUCGAUUCUUAUAAAGACACAAUAAAACCUUAUUUUAGAGAAUUUUAAGUAAAAAUGUAGACACAAUUUAUAGUAUUAUAUUCGUAUAGACAAGUAUUUCUUCGUCUGUUUGGAUAGGGCUAUCGCUUUUUUCGUUAUUGUUUGUUUCUACAACUUAGUAAGAAUACGAUGUCUUUGCGUACUACAUGUGGUAACUUCAUGCACCUCUAGCGCCGACUUGCGAGUGAAUAAAAUGUACUUGGUGAGGAAUGGUUUUAGCAAGUCAUACGAAUUACGGUGACGCAGCAAGUUUUUGCGCAUUUAAAGUUUAAUUUUCGACACGAAAGUCCGAUAUUUUCGCCAAAAAAUUGUACAGCUGGUAUCAGUGAGGCCUAAGGAACAUUUUAAGACCAAAACUUUCCAGUUACCAGCUAGAAUCUAGAUGAUCACCAUAGCAGUAUGGAGCCUCGUAUCCGUCACCUUUGUUUUACAUUUUCAGACCUUUAGAUUCAAUGGGUGAAAUACUAUUCCCGAAAUAUAAGGUCUUUUUUAACAUUUGUGCUAUAAUUAUCUUGUUUCUUUACGUUGCACUAACUUUGUGGGUGAUUGGUUUACCGCUUAUCCCAAACGAAAUGGAAGAACUGAAAAAGAUUUUUUAUGAUCCAAUAUUUGCUUCAAUAGUUUGGGUAGCUUGUGUUUUUACAUCAGUUAUCAGUUUUGGUAUUCUGGCAAUCUGUUUGAUGAAAAACAACAAAAAACAAAUCUAAAGGAAAAUUGGUUUAUUAUAAGCUGCGUCGAGCAGUGAAAAUAUCACCACUAAACUUUGUGUUUAGUUAGUUUCGAAAAAGGCGAUUAAAGGUUAAAAAGCAUACUGCUACAGAGACGAAAUAUAAAACGAUGUUUUUCUUUUGCACUUUUUUGGUAAUUUGCGGUUCAUUUUUAUAUUUGUUACUUACACUAUAAAGUAAUUUUGGCAAAAACAUUUUGCUAUUUUUAAAUCAAAUUUGCACGGACGAAAAAAGCAAAAAUGGAAAUUGGAACAAAAUGUAAUAGAAGAGGAAAAAACACUUGCUCGUUAUAAAACAAAAUUGAGCCAGCCAGGCUCUAAAAAUUCAAUUUUGAAAGGACAGUGGCCUUGAAGCAGUUAUCUUGUUGUGUUGUAUUUUAUAUGAGUACCACUGUGGCUGGCAGUACGAAGUACAUUAAUGAGUUGCCCAGACAUAGGCGUCAUGUUAGGGAAGUCAAGGGCGGCAUGUUACCCUAAUUUUUAGAAUGAAAAUAUAUUUUUUAUUACCCCAGUUUUACACUUGUCUUAAUGUCUUUACAAACAAACGGGGUCAAGUUAUACAAUGUUUGACAUUUUAAUCAAUGAAGAUUUCUAUGUUUUACCGAAUGAAUGUAACCAUAUUUUAUCAAUACUGUUGUGUUAUUAAAACCCCAAAAUGUAAAACUAUGGAUUUAACUGUAUUUUAGCAGUCCCCCAAUUUUUUUUU